UCUGGUCUUGGGACACUGUCAGGUGGGCAGUUUGACUGGGGCGGUCGCCUCCCAAAAGGUAACGGAGGCGCUCAAAGGUUCUCUCAGUACGGUCGGAAAUCGUACGUAGAGUGUAAAGGCAAAAGAGAGCUUGAUUGCAAGACAUACAGGUCGAGCAAGGAUGAAAAUCGGACUUAGUGAUCCGGUGGUUCUGCGUGGAAGGGCCAUCGCUCAACGGAUAAAAGCUACCCUGGGGAUAACAGGCUUAUCCCCCCCAAGAGUCCACAUCGACGGGGAGGUUUGGCACCUCGCUGUCGGCUCAUCACAUCCUGGGGCUGUAGUAGGUCCCAAGGGUUGGGCUGUUCGCCCAUUAAAGUGGUACGCGAGCUGGGUUCAGAACGUCGUGAGACAGUUCGGUCCCUAUCCGUCGCAGGCGGAGGAAAUUUGAGAAGACCUGUCCUUAGUA
rnacentral:rRNA from 1 species